GAGUUUGAUCGUGGCUCAGAUUGAACGCUGGCGGCAGGCCUAACACAUGCAAGUCGGGCGGUAGAGAGAAGCUUGCUUCUCUUGAGAGCGGCGGACGGGUGAGUAAUGCCUAGGAAUCUGCCUGGUAGUGGGGGAUAACGCUCGGAAACGGACGCUAAUACCGCAUACGUCCUACGGGAGAAAGCAGGGGACCUUCGGGCCUUGCGCUAUCAGAUGAGCCUAGGUCGGAUUAGCUAGUUGGUGAGGUAAUGGCUCACCAAGGCGACGAUCCGUAACUGGUCUGAGAGGAUGAUCAGUCACACUGGAACUGAGACACGGUCCAGACUCCUACGGGAGGCAGCAGUGGGGAAUAUUGGACAAUGGGCGAAAGCCUGAUCCAGCCAUGCCGCGUGUGUGAAGAAGGUCUUCGGAUUGUAAAGCACUUUAAGUUGGGAGGAAGGGCAGUAAAUUAAUACUUUGCUGUUUUGACGUUACCGACAGAAUAAGCACCGGCUAACUCUGUGCCAGCCGCCGACCG
rnacentral:rRNA from 1 species